rnacentral:rRNA from 1 species
AUUGAUCGCUGGCGGCAGGCCUAACACAUGCAAGUCGAGCGGAUGAAGGGAGCUUGCUCCUGGAUUCAGCGGCGGACGGGUGAGUAAUGCCUAGGAAUCUGCCUGGUAGUGGGGAUAACGUCCGGAAACGGGCGCUAAUACCGCAUACGUCCUGAGGGAGAAAGUGGGGGAUCUUCGGACCUCACGCUAUCAGAUGAGCCUAGGUCGGAUUAGCUAGUUGGUGGGGUAAAGGCCUACCAAGGCGACGAUCCGUAACUGGUCUGAGAGGAUGAUCAGUCACACUGGAACUGAGACACGGUCCAGACUCCUACGGGAGGCAGCAGUGGGGAAUAUUGGACAAUGGGCGAAAGCCUGAUCCAGCCAUGCCGCGUGUGUGAAGAAGGUCUUCGGAUUGUAAAGCACUUUAAGUUGGGAGGAAGGGCAGUAAGUUAAUACCUUGCUGUUUUGACGUUACCAACAGAAUAAGCACCGGCUAACUUCGUG